ACCUAGGCGUGUUACGGGUUAAAAAUAGAUAUCCAGGGAUAUUCUUCAGAAAAGUCUCGAGAAAGUCAUCUGUCUAAUGACUUUUUAAGAUUUGAGUAGUCCCCGUUCUAGGAAAACUUUGGCUGCAUAAAGCUCUCUUUCGAAGCUUCUACAUUGAUGACACAACAGCUGUUAUGAUGAGAUGUCUAGAUUGAUGUGACUAUUAUCCAAUGUACUGAGUGUUUUUAAUCUUAAUUUUCUCUUAAGCCGUGUUUUAUUGAGGACAUCAA
rnacentral:lncRNA from 1 species